CUUAAGCAUAUCAAUAAGCGGAGGAAAAGAAACCAACAGGGAUUGCCCUAGUAACGGCGAGUGAAGCGGCAACAGCUCAAAUUUGAAAUCUGGCGCAAGCCCGAGUUGUAAUUUGUAGAGGAUGCUUCUAGGUAGCGACCGGUCUAAGUUCCUUGGAACAGGACGUCAUAGAGGGUGAGAAUCCCGUAUGUGACCGGCCCGCACCUUCUACGUAGCUCCUUCGACGAGUCGAGUUGUUUGGGAAUGCAGCUCUAAAUGGGAGGUAAAUUUCUUCUAAAGCUAAAUACCGGCCAGAGACCGAUAGCGCACAAGUAGAGUGAUCGAAAGAUGAAAAGCACUUUGGAAAGAGAGUUAAAAAGCACGUGAAAUUGUUGAAAGGGAAGCGCUUACAACCAGACUUCUGGGCGGUGUUCCGCCGGUCUUUUGACCGGUCUACUCGCCGUCCCGAGGCCAACAUCAUCUGGGACCGCUGGAUAAGACCUCAGGAAUGUAGCUCCCCUCGGGGAGUGUUAUAGCCUGUGGUGAUGCAGCGCGUCUCGGGUGAGGUCCGCGCUUCGGCAAGGAUGUUGGCGUAAUGGUUGUCAGCGGCCCGUCUUGAAACACGGACCAAGGAGUCUAACAUCUAUGCGAGUGUUCGGGUGUCAAACCCCUACGCGUAAUGAAAGUGAACGGAGGUGGGAAGGGCAACCUGCACCAUCGACCGAUCCUGAUGUCCUCGGAUGGAUUUGAGUAAGAGCAUAGCUGUUGGGACCCGAAAGAUGGUGAACUAUGCCUGAAUAGGGUGAAGCCAGAGGAAACUCUGGUGGAGGCUCGCAGCGGUUCUGACGUGCAAAUCGAUCGUCAAAUUUGGGUAUAGGGGCGAAAGACUAAUCGAACCAU
rnacentral:rRNA from 1 species